AUUCGAGGUUUGUUAACAUCGAGAUAUAUGCAAGAAGUCAGCAGAGUCCGUAGUACCGAAAGGAAACCAUUUCAAAGAAAUUUGAAGUUGUAUAAGCCAUUUGGGAAGGGA
rfam:Parcubacteria group bacterium CG1_02_40_82 cg1_0.2_scaffold_1554_c, whole genome shotgun sequence.